AGUGAACUAAUCUAGCGGAUUACCUUAGUUUCAUAGGAAGCCUUUUAGUGUAGCUUAUAAAGGACUCUCCUUGGUUUUCCUUUAGUUACAAAGAAAAACUGUAUACUUUCUAUUCUAUUUUCAUGAACACUUUCCAAGAAAUAUAUUAAAGUUUCAGAAAGGAGGAGCCUUUUCUUGAAAGAGAUUUCUAGCAUGGAGAAAGCUCUGUUAAGAGGAAAUAAUGAUAAAUUGGUUAAUAUGAAUUGACCUUGGGGUUAUCAUUUUUUUUCUUCCUUCAUCUACCAUCUUACUCUGACAUUUGGGUCCUUUAGCAUUGAAUUUCUCCUUUGGAGCAAAAUUCUACCCUAUGAUAGUCAUUUUGGUUAUAUUUAGAUGACACAGAUAAGAUACAAACUCUUUUGAAUCAUGUUCUUUGUGAUCCAUGGUAGUCCCCAGAAUCAGCCAACAUCAGCAAUAGAUAACUUUAUGCAGUAUGAUUUAGCUUGAGAAAUCUAUCACCUUUUACGAAAAAUGUAGAUCUUUUCUGAGUGUAAAUAAAACUUUCCCUGAAGACAUACCGAUAGGUAUAAAAAUAUGCCAAGUAAACGCUCUUAUAUAGGCUGGAGAUAGUGACAAUGAAAUGUCAUGAAAGCCUGUGGAAAGUCUGUGGAAACUGAUUGCCUUACCUGCCCAUGCAAUUUUUGGGGAAUAAGUUCCUCUCUCUUUCCCUUCACUUUAACAGCCUUUCAGCACACCUGCUAUCACUUGCUCCCAAACACAGAUGAAACUAAAUAUUCAAUGAGAGGCCAAUAAAAUUAAGUUUAAUCUAAUAUUAUGAAUGUGUUAAACUUGCCAACCUGUUUGUUCUUUAAGAGAUUUCUUAACCCCUGAACGCUUUUUCAGCAGUUUGGAUGUCAUGAGUAUUUUUUUCCUGCUUCUGAGAAGCUGUCCCGGCUGAUAUUCAGAGCUGUCUUCUUCAACUCCAUUCCUGACGCUGCAGCAUCAAUCCGUGUUCAGCACAGUAGAAGGAGGGAGCCUGUGCAGAUCAUCACCUGUCUUCACAUAAACUCCACUUUGUUCUGCAAGACUGUGCCCUGGAAGUCUGACUUGUGUGGAUUUCCAUUUCCCUCUGGCUUCCCGCUGAGUUCAACCCAAGGUAAGCGCCCAGUGGAGAUCAGUGGGAAGGAGGAAAAUGAGGUGGAAUAUUUAUUCUCUUUUCUUUCUUCAGGCUGGUUUGCUAAUGGCUGUGGAAUAAAGGCCAUAGCUCCUUUUGGUUGGCCUGUGUCACACAGCUCUCCCUCUCCCCUGGGGAUUUUAGCAACUGGUCGCUUACCUUGCUCCUACCAGCCUAGAUGUAGCCAUGGCUUCCGCUAUUCCCAUUGUAGGGAUGUUUUCCUUUGUUGCUCUUCAUAA
rnacentral:lncRNA from 1 species